GACCGCGCCCCCUGGGUCCCCUACCUGAGUGUCGUGGGCAUUCUGGCCAUCAUCGCCUCUUUCUGCAGUGGGCCAGGUGGCAUUCCGUUCAUCUUGACUGGUGAGUUCUUCCAGCAAUCUCAGCGGCCGGCUGCCUUCAUCAUCGCAGGCACCGUCAACUGGCUCUCCAACUUUGCUGUUGGGCUCCUCUUCCCAUUCAUUCAGAAAAGUCUGGACACCUACUGUUUCCUAGUCUUUGCUACAAUUUGUAUCACAGGUGCUAUCUACCUAUAUUUUGUGCUGCCUGAGACCAAAAACAGAACCUAUGCAGAAAUCAGCCAGGCAUUUUCCAAAAGGAACAAAGCAUACCCACCAGAAGAGAAAAUUGACUCAGCUGUCACUGAUGCUCCUGCUUCUUCUCCUUUCACUACUCCACAUACAGCCUGGAUUCAAGCUGCCGCCACCACCAUUGCCACCAAAAAAGAACACCCAUUGUAAACAGUCAUGUGGUACUUCCUCAACCUGGAAUGACCUUCCCCUAUCCUCUUCUCCUGGAGAACACCAAGUCAUGAAGUCAGACAAGAGCUUGGAUUUUGGAGACACGGGUUUGAAUUCCAGUCAUUCAUUCUUUUAUUCAGCAAAUAUUUAACAAGUACUGACAUGUC
rnacentral:sRNA from 1 species